rnacentral:rRNA from 1 species
GACAGAGGCCUCGAGCGUUAGGCGGAAUCACUGGGCUUAAAGCGUGUGUAGGCGGGGCCGUAAGUGUCUUGUGAAAUCCCACGGCUCAACCGUGGAACUGCUGGGCAUACUGCGGGUCUUGGGCCAACUAGGGGCAGCCGGAACAAGCGGUGGAGCGGUGAAAUGCGUAGAUAUCGCUUGGAACGCCGAAGGUGAAAACAGGCUGCUGGGGUUGCGCCGACGCUGAGACACGAAAGCCAGGGGAGCAAACGGG